rnacentral:lncRNA from 12 species
GGACCUAGUGGUCCGGCCAAGGGAGGCCGAGGCCAGCACGCAGGUGUGCGCGCCCCGCCAGGUGACCCGGCCCGGCCCGCGGCGCCCCCGCCGUCCCCCACUGCACACGUGCCGCAGGUGCUCCUUCCCGUGGGGGGCACACGCGGGGGUCCGGGAGCCGAGGCCGGGGGGCGGGGGGUCCCCAAGGACGCUGCGCACCCGCCGGCCGCCAGCGCGCGGGGUCUCCAGGGCCGGCGGGGCUCUGGGAGGCCGCUGGACCCGGCCCAGAGCACCCGGCCCAGAGCACCCGGGCCGCGCAGCUUUCCGCGCUGUGCACUAGGCGCCGACCGGCGCAGCAGGCCCCCCGCGGGUCGUGACGACACCCGCCCGCGGCGCAGGCGCGGCGGCCCCUUUUCUGCGGGGAGCCCCGCCGACCCGCGCCCCGCGCCCCGGAGGCCGCGUUCCCGCCGCGGGGCAGGGCGGGGCCCGCCGCGCCUGCGCACUCGGCCUCCGCGCCGCCCGUGCGUCUCGGGGAGCACGCCGCCCCACGUGACCGCCGCCAGUACCCAAGAUGGAGGCCGCGGCGAGGCCCGGUCGGAGCCCUGCCUCCGCCUGCGCCCGGGAGUGCGCCCGCUAGGCGCUGCGGCGCUCGGCCCCGACAGCCGGGCCGGCGCGGGACAGCCCUUCGCGGCUGCCGAGUGGAGCUCACCGGGGCGAGCGCCCACGUUGACACUCACGACCCGCCCGGCUCCCGGCGCUUUCUCAGCCGCGAAGGGUCCGGCGGCUGGCGCCUGGAGCGUCCUCCGGUGGCCCCGCCCCCGGGGAUCGGCAUCUCGGGCAGCCAAUGGGGUCCGGGAUGUGCGCGGGAAGGCGGGCAGAGGUGGAGCGUCCCUGCCGUUUGUAGGGCUUGCGGCCCGGCGAUUGGCCGCCGCGGGACGGGGGGCGGGAGCCCGCGGGGCGGUACCCGGGGCCCCAGCGGGCCAAUGGGAGGGCGGCCGGGCGGUCGGGGAGGGCGGGGCCGAGCCGUAA